UGCUUGAUUAGUACCCUAACUCUAUGCAUUCCUUGGAAAACCAGAACAAAAUGAGUGAGAACCUCCACCACCACCAUUCUCAUUAUUUCUAAGGUCC